AUUGAACGCUGGCGGCAUGCUUUACACAUGCAAGUCGAACGGUAACAGGCCUUCGGGUGCUGGCGAGUGGCGAACGGGUGAGUAAUGCAUCGGAACGUGCCCAGAGGUGGGGGAUAACGCAGCGAAAGCUGUGCUAAUACCGCAUGUGAUCUGAGGAUGAAAGCGGGGGACCAAGCAGCAAUGUUUGGCCUCGCGCCUCUGGAGCGGCCGAUGUCAGAUUAGGUAGUUGGUGGGGUAAAGGCCUACCAAGCCGACGAUCUGUAGCUGGUCUGAGAGGACGACCAGCCACACUGGGACUGAGACACGGCCCAGACGCCUACGGGAGGCAGCAGUGGGGAAUUUUGGACAAUGGGCGCAAGCCUGAUCCAGCAAUGCCGCGUGCGGGAAGAAGGCCUUCGGGUUGUAAACCGCUUUUGUACGGAACGAAAAGGCCCUGGCUAAUACCUGGGGCUGAUGACGGUACCGUAAGAUAAGCACCGGCUAACUACGUG
rnacentral:rRNA from 1 species